GAUGAACGCUGGCGGCGUGCCUAAUACAUGCAAGUCGAGCGAACGGACGAGAAGCUUGCUUCUCUGAUGUUAGCGGCGGACGGGUGAGUAACACGUGGAUAACCUACCUAUAAGACUGGGAUAACUUCGGGAAACCGGAGCUAAUACCGGAUGAUAUUUUGAACCGCAUGGUUCAAAAGUGAAAGACGGUCUUGCUGUCACUUAUAGAUGGAUCCGCGCUGCAUUAGCUAGUUGGUAAGGUAACGGCUUACCAGGGCAACGAUGCAUAGCCGACCUGAGAAGGUGAUCGGCCACACUGGAACUGAGACACGGUCCAGACUCCUACGGGAGGCAGCAGUAGGGAAUCUUCCGCAAUGGGCGAAAGCCUGACGGAGCAACGCCGCGUGAGUGAUGAAGGUCUUCGGAUCGUAAAACUCUGUUAUUAGGGAAGAACAUAUGUGUAAGUAACUGUGCACAUCUUGACGGUACCUAAUCAGAAAGCCACGGCUAACUACGUGCCAGCAGCCGCGGUAAUACGUAGGUGGCAAGCGUUAUCCGGAAUUAUUGGGCGUAAAGCGCGCGUAGGCGGUUUUUUAAGUCUGAUGUGAAAGCCCACGGCUCAACCGUGGAGGGUCAUUGGAAACUGGAAAACUUGAGUGCAGAAGAGGAAAGUGGAAUUCCAUGUGUAGCGGUGAAAUGCGCAGAGAUAUGGAGGAACACCAGUGGCGAAGGCGACUUUCUGGUCUGUAACUGACGCUGAUGUGCGAAAGCGUGGGGAUCAAACAGGAUUAGAUACCCUGGUAGUCCACGCCGUAAACGAUGAGUGCUAAGUGUUAGGGGGUUUCCGCCCCUUAGUGCUGCAGCUAACGCAUUAAGCACUCCGCCUGGGGAGUACGACCGCAAGGUUGAAACUCAAAGGAAUUGACGGGGACCCGCACAAGCGGUGGAGCAUGUGGUUUAAUUCGAAGCAACGCGAAGAACCUUACCAAAUCUUGACAUCCUUUGACAACUCUAGAGAUAGAGCCUUCCCCUUCGGGGGACAAAGUGACAGGUGGUGCAUGGUUGUCGUCAGCUCGUGUCGUGAGAUGUUGGGUUAAGUCCCGCAACGAGCGCAACCCUUAAGCUUAGUUGCCAUCAUUAAGUUGGGCACUCUAAGUUGACUGCCGGUGACAAACCGGAGGAAGGUGGGGAUGACGUCAAAUCAUCAUGCCCCUUAUGAUUUGGGCUACACACGUGCUACAAUGGACAAUACAAAGGGCAGCGAAACCGCGAGGUCAAGCAAAUCCCAUAAAGUUGUUCUCAGUUCGGAUUGUAGUCUGCAACUCGACUACAUGAAGCUGGAAUCGCUAGUAAUCGUAGAUCAGCAUGCUACGGUGAAUACGUUCCCGGGUCU
rnacentral:rRNA from 1 species